AAUUUCCAUAAGAAUUCUUUACCACUGCAGCAUUUUAUUUCAAUGCAUAUUUGUCUUUGAAGGGAAAGCCUGGCAAAGAUGGAGAACCUGGUCAGCCUGGUAGGGAUGUGAGUAAUUCAUAUGUUUUUAAUCUAACCAGACUCUUUAUAAGCUUUCCUUUUGAUGUGGAGAAGAUCUGAGUGUGAUUAUAUUUCCCUUUUCUUGAAGGGUUUACCUGGUGGGCCUGGAAUAAAUGGUGCUCCAGGAAGAGAUGGUGAAAAGGUAUGCCAGGAUUUUUUCAGUGUUGCUGUAAUAGAUGGAAAAUUUGCCAUCACUGAGUUCAUUUCUGCCUGAGUAGUAAUUGCAUUGCUUUUGCUAUUACAGUGCUGAGGAAUAUUUGCAAUAACUUGUUUAUGUAGUUCUGCACAGUAUCAGAAAUGCUCUUAAUUUCAUUGGUAGGGUGAAAAAGGUGACAUGGGUCCCCCUGGUCCUCCUGGAAUUGUAAGUUGCCGAUCCUUUAUUUUUUUGCAUUUGGUUGACAGUGUUGUUUCAUUGUAGUUCUUGGCUGACUGAGAAGUCCUAUCUCUGGGUACAACACCAAGAGCACCAGAAAACUUUUCAUACAUACACUAACAGAAACAAUGGUUUCCUUCUUUCAAGAUCAGUUCUGUGCUCUGGGAUUUGCUGGGUCACAAACACAGGCUAGACUAUAACCUCAGACCAGCAGGACUGAGUCAGCCUCACUGAAGCCUGUUGUAACUAUGUUGGCUUGGCAGGCAAACAGCUUCCUAUUGGGGAGUGCUCUUUACUGGAAUUUUCCCUGGUAAUUCAGUGGAGUGGGGAAAGCAUCCUGUCAUUGGCAUAAGGUUCAAAGUAUGUUGAAAUUUCCCUCCCUCACAUCUCUUUACGAUUCCAAUGACUCUUUUCUUGGCAAUUAGCUUCACAUGAGCAUGUAAUAUUUACAGGUUGUUCCGAGACCAGGUAUUGAUGCAACAGUGGGACCAAAAGGUAGCAAAGGAUUGCCAGGACUUCCAGGAGCCAAAGGGGAUCGUGGAUUCUCUGGUAGGCCAGGCCCACCUGGCUUGCCAGGAUCUCCAGGGAUCACUACUGUUGGACCUCCUGGCCCACCUGGCUUGCCUGGUGAGAGAGGACAGAAGGGAGAUCCAGGUUUACCUGGGGUUUCUAUUCCUGGGCAACCAGGAGUUGAGGGACCACAAGGACCGCCAGGACCACCAGGUCCCCCAGGGCCACCUGCACCAUCUGUUGCUCCUGGUAAGUGAUGAUCACAUAAACAGCAAGUAGAAGAGACUAAACAGCUUUGACAUUUGUUUAGGUUUGGGUUU
rnacentral:lncRNA from 1 species